UCGCUCCCGUGGCCCAGAGGUUAGAGCGUCCACCUUAAAUGCGGGAGGUCGUGGGUUCGAAGCCCGGUCGAGUCAU